rnacentral:lncRNA from 1 species
GUUCCUUCCUUGGCAGUAAAUAUCCUUUUUUUUUUGUCAUGAAUUCUGUCUAUCUUCCUGAAUCCUUGCCUUGUUGAUAAUAGUUGUCAUUUACAGUUGAUCAUAUAUAAACUAUGGUGAUUACUAUGUACAGCAUUCUUCUUGAUCUACUCAUUUCACUUUGCAUCACUUCAUAUGUCUUUCCAGGUGAUCAACAUAUUCAUCAUUUAUAAUGGCCUAAUUGUAUUCUAUUAAAAGCAUAUAUCACAACUUGUUUAGCCAUUCCCCAAUUGAUGGGCAUCCCUUUAGCUUCCAGAAGUUUGACAGCACAAAAAGAGCUGCUAUACAUAUUUUUGAACAGUGUAUUUCUUGACUUUGAACUUCAUGUUACAUUUGGGUUCUGUUCCUUGGAUAUAGCUGGGAGUAGAGAAGGUAUCAAAAAUAUGUGAAUCUAUUUUAGAG